rnacentral:rRNA from 1 species
UACGUAGGGUGCGAGCGUUGUCCGGAAUUAUUGGGCGUAAAGGGCUCGUAGGCGGCCUGUUGCGUCCGCUGUGAAAGCCCGGGGCUUAACCCCGGGUCGGCAGUGGAUACGGGCAGGCUAGAGGUAGGUAGGGGAGAAUGGAAUUCCCGGUGUAGCGGUGAAAUGCGCAGAUAUCGGGAGGAACACCGGUGGCGAAGGCGGUUCUCUGGGCCUUACCUGACGCUGAGGAGCGAAAGCGUGGGGAGCGAACAGG